rnacentral:tRNA from 1 species
UAAUUAGUUAAUGAUAAUAUUAAUUUGUCAAGUUAAAGUUGGAUUAAUUCCUCAAUUAA